rnacentral:rRNA from 1 species
AUUGAACGCUGGCGGCAUGCCUUACACAUGCAAGUCGAACGGUAACAGGUCUUCGGAUGCUGACGAGUGGCGAACGGGUGAGUAAUACAUCGGAACGUGCCUAGUAGUGGGGGAUAACUACUCGAAAGAGUGGCUAAUACCGCAUGAGAUCUACGGAUGAAAGCAGGGGAUCGCAAGACCUUGUGCUACUAGAGCGGCCGAUGGCAGAUUAGGUAGUUGGUGGGAUAAAAGCUUACCAAGCCGACGAUCUGUAGCUGGUCUGAGAGGACGAUCAGCCACCCUGGGACUGAGACACGGCCCAGACUCCUAGGGGAGGCAGCAGUGGGGAAUUUUGGACGACGGGCGCAAGCCUGAUCCAGCAAUGCCGCGUGCAGGAUGAAGGCCUUCGGGUUGUAAACUGCUUUUGUACGGAACGAAAAGCCCCGGGUUAAUACCCUGGGGUCAUGACGGUACCGUAAGAAUAAGCACCGGCUAACUACGUGCCAGCCGCCGCGGUAA